rnacentral:rRNA from 1 species
GCUUACGGCCAUACCACCCUGAAUGCGCCCGAUCUCGUCUGAUCUCGGAAGCUAAGCAGGGUCAGGCCUGGUUAGUACUUGGAUGGGUGACCGCCUGGGAAUACCAGGUGCUGUAUGCC